rnacentral:rRNA from 1 species
GAUGAACGCUGGCGGCGUGCCUAAUACAUGCAAGUCGAGCGAACAGACGAGGAGCUUGCUCCUCUGACGUUAGCGGCGGACGGGUGAGUAACACGUGGAUAACCUACCUAUAAGACUGGGAUAACUUCGGGACACCGGAGCUAAUACCGGAUAAUAUAUUGAACCGCAUGGUUCAAUAGUGAAAGACGGUUUUGCUGUCACUUAUAGAUGGAUCCGCGCCGCAGUAGCUAGUUGUUAAGGUAACGGCUUACCACGGCGACGAUGCGUAGCCGACCUGAGGGGGGGAUCGGCCACACUGGAACUGAGACACGGACCAGACUCCUACGGGAGGCAGCAGUAGGGAAUCUGCCGCAAUGGGCGAAAGCCUGACGGAGCAACGCCGAGUGAGUGAUGAAGGUCUUCGGAUCGUAAAACUCUGUUAUUAGUGAAGAACAAAUGUGUAAGUAACUAUGCACGUCUUGACGGUACCUAAUCAGAAAGCCACGGCUAACUACGUG